AUCGAAAUGAUUAAAUUAAAUGCAACUGAAUCGAUUUUAGGAGGAAGGAAUUGUGUCAGUGCCUGUGAGUAGAAACGAUCAUGAUCGCCGAUGCUUUUCAUUGUAAAGAGUUCUCAUUCUUUAUCGAUGGCGCUAGUGUCCUGCAAAGCUCAUCAGCUUGUUUUAAUAAUAAAAAUCAGAACUUUCCUUCUGUUUGUACUUUUUCUGUAAGAAUUGGUAAUGGUACCCAGAAAAAGAGUAAGAACAAUCCAGUUGGAGGUGUCACUGUUAGUUCACAAUGCAAUGUUCCUCUCAUUUUGGUCUCUGCAUCCAAAUGGAGAGCAAUUUUACAAUCUUAUUUUAGCAGAGUGAAAAAGAAGUGUUUAAAGAUCGGAGCAGAAGAGAAGGAUUGGGAGUGCAUUAAGUGGAGCAUUGGUGAGCACCUUGGACUUGGUGCAACCAAUUUAGGGGUUCUAAUUCUAUCAUUAGAAGCUCCUGCAUUUUCGAUUGUCAUGGAGUUUUCUACUUCCAACGGCUGUUCCAUUGUUGUUGUACAGAGCUGAUAUGCGUCGUGUGAUUAAGUCGACAGGGGCACUUCUCUUGGCUUUCUUAUUCGGCUCAGUAACAAAGCAUGAAUGUCGUCCUAUAAAGAAGAAAUCGAAGAAGAAUGAAGUUGAUAAAAGUAUUAUAUCAAAAGUUAAGAAGGGGAAGAAGCGUGUCGAUGGACUGCGUAAGGUUUCAUUAUAGUUUCUUUUUCAUUUUGCCCUAAUUUAUGCAUUUUGUCUAUGUUUUUUAGUAUUUUUAUAUGUGAUUUUGAUUUUAGGGUUUCAUAUAUUUUACAUGUUUUGUUGUUUUAUUAAGUAUAGUGUAUGUUAGAUUAUUUGUUUUGGGUGUUAGGCAUGUGAUGUUUAUGUAUGGUUGCAAUAUAGUUUACCUACUAGUUAUGAAUUAGGUCUAUUACGUGAAUGAUUUUUUAUUAAUUUAGUAUAGUUUCAAGAUAGUUUUAAAACCGUUUAUAUUAUCAUUAUCAUGUUUAUUUUUAUUUAUCCCUACAGAAUCGGGAAUACAAAUUCCAUACUUUUGAAUAUUUCAAGUCCAAGUGCUACUCUACUUGUACUUACAGUGAUAUUGACAACAUUAAGAAAAAAAUAAAUAAAGGAUGUGAUGACAAUAUUUCGUGCUACUCAAUUCUGUCAUUUCUUGGAUAUUCAUGUCUGAGAUCAAGCAUUGUUCUUCUCUGACCCCAUAUAUUUGUGUUGUUGCAUUUUAGUUGUUGAUGUGUUUCACUAUAGUGUUAACUAUUUUGAUUAUUGUUUUGUUAUACAGUGACUGUGGUACUUUUGUUGCUGCAUUUACUGAAUUCUUUAUCAUGAAAAAGAUGUUCCACUGGAUUUUAAUAUUGAAGCUUAUCGCACGAGGCUUGCUGUGCUUUUGUUUGCAUAUGGUAAAAGUAAAAAUGAUGAAAACAUUAAUAGUGAGGAUGAAAAGCCUAAGAAGUCCAUGAAGAAUGUUCAAGGGAAGAAUAAGGGUAUGUGAUUGGGGACUGAUUUCUAUAGCCUGUUGAAUGUUAUUGUUUAUUUUUAUUGUUUGUUAUUUUAAUGCUAGAUGUUGAGACUUGGUUAUUGAUGUUAUAAUUAUAUUACUUUUUUUUUCUUUUUGUUUAAGAACUAAAUAUGAGAUUGUUAUCUUUAGUGCAUAUGUUUUUGGGUUUCAAUGCA